rnacentral:ncRNA from 2 species
UGAUGAGGUAGAGGUCGCGAUGAUUAGGAAUCUUAAAAAAGUUCUGAGGGAACGUUUGGAUUUUAAGAGGAGGGAAAGUCGCCGAAAUGAAUGUUAGCCUCACUAACAUUUGUUGGGACAACAGUUGAUAGCUGUUGGACUGUCUCGAUUUGUGAAAGUCGAGUUGCGCUAUUUUUGUC